GAACUAGCUUGCAUUUGUAAAAUAUGUUCAUCCACAUGCCUUGGCGCUUGGAAUGGUCCAGUCUAGACGUUGCCAUCACUGAUCAAGCUCAUUUUCAAGGAUCACCCAGAAUUCAAGUUUUACGGGGAGUGUCCUGCCUUUCCUCACAAGUGUGUGCACCAAAUGUUUGAUAAAAUGCCAAGCGGGAGAUAAAAGAAGGGACAAGACGGAAGACAUUGCAUAUGCACACCAAGGUAUGAGCGACUCAGAACAUGCGUCUUGAAUUGCCUCUUCUUUUUCCUUUUUUUGGGUAUGGUGUGUUCAUUCAGUAGACCAGUGCUGGUAAAAGUAGCUUUCUCAUCCUCAUGGGAUCCAAGUCAACUCCACCUAACUCGUGUUCUUAUUCGUAUAGACGCUUUGAAUAUCUAUUGGUGUGACCCUGUUUUUAGGGUUUCAUGUCAUUGGUGAUUGAGGAUUGAGUCUGAUAACUUCCUUAUAUUUUAGUACCUCAGUUAUAAUUAAUGUCCUUUUUUCAAUUUUUGAUUUGUUGUUGUCCCACUCAGUCUUGGUCUAGUUCUGUAAACUGUACAAGGGCAAGAACUUUCUUGGAGACUAACGCCGAAGUAUUUAUUAGGAAGCUUGAUAGAGAAACCUCUUGAUAGCAUAUUCAAUGAUGAUCUAUUCUCCUAAAGCACACAAAAAUUAAAAGAAGAGAAGUACUAAAUUUCACGCAAGUAACCUCAAUGACUUGUUCUGAACCAAUUUAGAUGAAUUUUGCCCCAAUUUCCAAGGAAGAAAUGGUUUAUUGGACAUUUCAAUAAUGUCAUCAAGCAAAGGCAUUUGGUUCCCUGACAAUCAACCGAAAAGAUGUAAACAGUUGAUUUUGUAUGUUUUGGCCAAGAAAAAAUGUCCAUCUAGUACCUUCCUGCAAAAUGCUAAUGGCAGUGGAAACUGUUGAUUGACAGAAAUUGUGGAGAGACUUGUAGGUGAAAGGUGAAAGUGGUAUCCCGGGCUGUGGAGGUGUAAAGCGGUUGAGGAACUGGCUUGUUGCUUAGAUGGGACAGAUACGGAUUUGUGGAGAUUGGGUUCCUUGUACAAGCUUGGAGGUUGUUCGGAUUGCCGAUUGUGCUGAUCGGGUUUCCUCUAUCAAUUAACAUAUAGAUUUACGUAUAUGAAUUGUAUGAACAAGUUAUGUGUAUGCAAUCUUGACCAUUUUGUGCUUGAGAUGACUUAAUAGGGUAAUGCCACAAAAUUCAGUUUGUACAGUGAAAUUCAUGAAAUAUCUGAGCUCAUUAGCUUGUUCAUUGCCUUACUUUAGUUGAAAAAUUCUUCUACUUCCUA